rnacentral:rRNA from 1 species
AGUGAACGCUGGCGGUAGGCCUAACACAUGCAAGUCGAACGGCAGCACAGUAAGAGCUUGCUCUUACGGGUGGCGAGUGGCGGACGGGUGAGGAAUACAGCGGAAUCUACUUUUUCGUGGGGGAUAACGUAGGGAAACUUACGCUAAUACCGCAUACUACCUACGGGUGAAAGCAGGGGAUCUUCGGACCUUGCGCGAUUGAAUGAGCCGAUGUCGGAUUAGCUAGUUGGCGGGGUAAAGGCCCACCAAGGCGAUGAUCCGUAGCUGGUCUGAGAGGAUGAUCAGCCACACUGGAACUGAGACACGGUCCAGACUCCUACGGGAGGCAGCAGUGGGGAAUAUUGGACAAUGGGCGCAAGCCUGAUCCAGCCAUACCGCGUGGGUGAAGAAGGCCUUCGGGUUGUAAAGCCCUUUUGUUGGGAAAGAAAAGCAGCAGGUUAAUACCCCGCUGUUCUGACGUUACCCAAAGAAUAAGCACCGGCUAACUUCGUG